UACGUAGGGGGCAAGCGUUGUCCGGAUUUAUUGGGCGUAAAGAGCGUGUAGGCGGCCUGACAGGUCUGCUGUGAAAACUCGAGGCUCAACCUCGAGAUGUCGGCGGAAACCGUCUGGCUAGAGUCCGGAAGAGGAGAGUGGAAUUCCAGGUGUAGCGGUGAAAUGCGUAGAUAUCUGGAGGAACACCGGUGGCGAAGGCGGCAUCCUGGACCGGCAUUGACGCUGAGGCGCGAAAGCCAGGGGAGCAAACGGG
rnacentral:rRNA from 1 species